CUUACAUAGCAUGUCAAGAGAGUAGAGAAGAGCAUAGAUACCAGAAGGACGAGAAUACUCUGUGCCUUGUAUGUGCAUUCUCUUCAUGACAGAUGAAGACACAGGUACCAUGAUCUUAAUUUUACAUCUUGGGAGCCUUGGGUUGACA